rnacentral:rRNA from 1 species
GUGGGGAAUUUUGGACAAUGGGCGCAAGCCUGAUCCAGCCAUUCCGCGUGCAGGAUGAAGGCCUUCGGGUUGUAAACUGCUUUUGUACGGAACGAAAAGCCUCUGGUUAAUACCCGGGGGUCAUGACGGUACCGUAAGAAUAAGCACCGGCUAACUACGUGCCAGCAGCCGCGGUAAUACGUAGGGUGCGAGCGUUAAUCGGAAUUACUGGGCGUAAAGCGUGCGCAGGCGGUGAUGUAAGACAGUUGUGAAAUCCCCGGGCUCAACCUGGGAACUGCAUCUGUGACUGUAUAGCUAGAGUACGGUAGAGGGGGAUGGAAUUCCGCGUGUAGCAGUGAAAUGCGUAGAUAUGCGGAGGAACACCGAUGGCGAAGGCAAUCCCCUGGACCUGUACUGACGCUCAUGCACGAAAGCGUGGGGAGCAAACAGGAUUAGAUACCCUGGUAGUCC